UUGGAGAAGGUCAAACAUCACCCUCUCCUGUGGUUAAAUUGAGAUGGUGGCACUGGCUGUCUUCUAUAUUAUUGCUGCACCUUUCCUCACCAGGGGUGCACACAAAACUGGGAGA
rnacentral:snoRNA from 1 species